CCAAAGGUGCAACCAAAUUCUCUUUUUUUUGAGAGCUUAUUGAAAUGAGUUUUUUGUUGUCCAGAACAGCAGUUCUGCAUAUUUUAUGUGUUUGCCUUAUGCUGUAGCCAUGACUUAAAUGGAUGUCUGACUGACAAGCUUCUGCAGCACUUUGUGACUUGUAAUCAUUUAAAUUACAGUAGGCCUACCCUGAGUGUUGAGAAGCCUGGAAUCACUGCCUUGUUCAGAUCAUUAAUUAAUUUUAUGGAUGCUAUAGUUAUACUAUCUAUUUUAUAAGAUCUCAUUUUCUGUCAUAUCUUUUGCCCUAAAAGAGAGAUGAAGAGUUAAAGCAGUCCACCGGCUCACUUGACCCCUCCUUGCCAAAGUCUGGGGGUCCGGGGGGACAGAAGACAGCGAGCCAGACAGCGUCAUCAUGCUGUUCCUGGAGGAGGCUUGUGUUAGGCCUCCUACCAUUUUUACCUUUCACUGCUGCCAUUACACUGACUCUCAACUAUUUAACAUCUUCGUCUUGCUCGGUGUUCUUCCUGGGCAGCAGUGUAGAGUUCCCAAACCUGACCUUCUCAUUAGAGCUGACCGAUCCCGCCUCCCCUCAGUUCCGCCUGCAGGCUCAGGCUUUGGACCAUUAUUUCUCAAAACUCUAUGACUCUACCCCGUGGAGGUCUUACUACCUGC